rfam:Cryomorphaceae bacterium BACL29 MAG-121220-bin83 contig00010.0_to_5_1_121220-bin83, whole genome shotgun sequence.
UGCACUCGGGCAAGGAUCAAACAACCAGCUCCUGAUGAAUCCCCCAGGACGGAAACGUAGCAAGGGUAGUUGGUCGUAGCGGUGUGAUUUGACUCCUUGCCUUUUU